AUUGAACGCUGGCGGCAUGCUUUACACAUGCAAGUCGAACGGCAGCGGGGAGGAGCUUGCUUCUCUGCCGGCGAGUGGCGAACGGGUGAGUAAUACAUCGGAACGUGUCGAGAAGAGGGGGAUAACCACCCGAAAGGGUGGCUAAUACCGCAUAAAUUCUGAGGAAGAAAGCUGGGGACCUAGGAAUAGGCCUAGCGCUUUUUGAGCGGCCGAUGUCGGAUUAGCUAGUUGGUGAGGUAAAGGCUCACCAAGGCGAAGAGCUGUAGCGGGUCUGAGAGGAUGAUCCGCCACACUGGGACUGAGACACGGCCCAGACUCCUACGGGAGGCAGCAGUGGGGAAUUUUGGACAAUGGGGGCAACCCUGAUCCAGCCAUGCCGCGUGUAUGAAGAAGGCCUUAGGGUUGUAAAGUACUUUUGUUAGGGAAGAAAAGUCAGCUGUGAAUAAUGGCUGAUACUGACGGUACCUAAAGAAUAAGCACCGGCUAACUACGUG
rnacentral:rRNA from 1 species